rnacentral:rRNA from 1 species
CAGCAGCCGCGGGAAUACGUAGGGGGCAAGCGUUGUCCGGAAUUAUUGGGCGUAAAGCGCGCGCAGGCGGUCAUGUAAGUCUGGUGUUUAAUCCCGGGGCUCAACCCCGGAUCGCACUGGAAACUGGGUGACUUGAGUGCAGAAGAGGAGAGUGGAAUUCCACGUGUAGCGGUGAAAUGCGUAGAGAUGUGGAGGAACACCAGUGGCGAAGGCGACUCUCUGGGCUGUAACUGACGCUGAGGCGCGAAAGCGUGGGGAGCAAACAGGAUUAGAUACCCCGGUAGUCCCUGUCUCUUAUACA